CCAGAGGCCAUUGCUAUCAGGGUUUGACUAAGCCAUGCGAGUCGAGAGGUGUAAGACCUCGGCAUACUGCUCAGUAACACGUGGUUAACCUGCCCUAAGGUGGAGAAUACUCCCGGGAAACUGGGGCUAAUGCUCCAUAGUGGAUAUGUCCUGGAAUGGUAUAUCCUCGAAAGAUCCGUCGCCUUAGGAUGGGACUGCGUCCGAUUAGGUUGUUGGCGGGGUAACGGCCCACCAAGCCAUUGAUCGGUACGGGUUGUGGGAGCAAGAUCCCGGAGAUGGAUUCUGAGACAUGAAUCCAGGCCCUACGGGGCGCAGCAGGCGCGCAAACUUUACAAUGCGAGCAAUCGUGAUAAGGAAACCCUGAGUGCCUGUCGAUGCAGGCUGUUCAUAUAUCUAAAUCAUAUGUGAAGAAAGGGCAGGGCAAGACCGGUGCCAGCCGCCGCGGUAAUACCGGCUGCUCGAGUGAUGGCCACUAUUACUGGGUUUAAAGCGUCCGUAGCUUGACUGUUAGGUCUCUUGGGAAAUCUUCACGCUCAACGUGAAGGCGUCUAAGAGAUACCGGCAGUCUUGGAACUGGGAGAGGUAAACCGUACUUCGGGGGUAGGAGUGAAAUCUUGUAAUCCUCGAGGGACGACCUAUGGCGAAGGCAGUUUACCAGAACAGCUUCGACAGUGAGGGACGAAAGCUGGGGGAGCAAACGGGAUUAGAUACCCCGGUAGUCCCAGCCGUAAACAAUGUGCGUUAGGUGUGUCGGUAACCACGUGUUACUGAUGCGCCGAAGAGAAAUCGUGAAACGCACCACCUGGGAAGUACGGUCGCAAGGCUGAAACUUAAAGGAAUUGGC
rnacentral:rRNA from 1 species